UGCUUAUAUCUUUAUAGGUAAAAUUUUGUUUGGUGCUAUAGUCUUCUCUAAUAUAAUAAUAAAUAUUUUAAACUUUGUGGGCCAUACAGUCUCUGUAGCAUCUACCCAAGUCCACCACUGUCGCAUGGAAGCACCACAGACAAUAUGUCAAUUACAGGGCAUGGCCAACCUAGCUGGUAGAACUUUACUCACAAAAGCAGGCCAUGAUUUGCCGACCUCUGUUCCGUCUAGGAGAUUAAGAAAAAUCCAGAGCACAGGAGUGAGUAAGUCAUAAUAUAUAAUAGGAGGACAAUUGGUAAACUAAAUUAUAGAGAGAUACAAAAGACAGGAGAGGCAAUACAAAAUUUAAUGAAAAUAAUCUAGAUUUAAAAUGCACUAUUUUAUUAACUAAAAGAUAGAGGUUUUAAAGAGAAGGGAAAAGAAGAGUGUGCUAAACUUCUCACCUUCCAUGGGCAAAGGUGGGUGGUGGAGUAACAGAGAGAACUGAAGGUUUAAACAUGCUUUUGAAAAACUCGAAAGUUAUGUCUAGUAAAAUUAAAAACAGGAGAAAAGCUUUCCAAACCACCACAGAAUUAAAAAGCAAAGAAAAAUGUUACCCGUUUUACGAAAGACUGAAAAUAGUGAAAACGAAGGAAGCAUAGAGCCAGAAAGCAUAUGAUAAGUUGACAAAAAUCACACCAAAGUCACAAUAAAUGAAAAUUAGUUAAAUCCUUAUUAAGGACAAAUACCCAUAUUAGAAACAUGGAUUAUGAGAAAUCCAUUUGAUGUGAAAUACACAAGCUGCUAUAUAAAAUGGUGAACAAAUGUGAAUAAAAAUAGAUUAGAGAUUGAAAUAUUAUUUUUUAAAUGUGCAUAUCCAGGAAAAAUAAUUAAAUAGAACAAAAAGUCUAUCUUUAAAUGAAGAUAUUAUUGAUUUGAUCUUUUAUGCAUGAAGCAAAAACAUAAACAUAUAUAAAGCAAAACUUGUUAAAAAUGUAAGAAAUAGUGGGAAGAAACCUGGUAGCAAAGGGAAACUUUAUCAUACUUCUCUCAAUAUUUGGCAAGUGAAGUAUAUAAUAGAUAAUGGUAAGAUAAAUAAAGAUUAAUGGAUAAAGAAGAUCUGGAAAACACCACUAUUAAUGUUUAGUUAAUAUAUACACUAAAGAUUAAAUCUAUUGUGUGUUAAUUAUUGAUUACAUAUUAAGUCAUUAAGAAAAUCUCAAUAAGUCCCAUAAGCUAAAAAUUAUUGAGCUCACACUCUCUGACCACAAUGCAUUAAAUUAGAAAUUACAUUUGAGAAAGUGGGAGAUAAAAUUACCAAUGAUUUUCAAAUGAGCAAACAACAACAACAACACCACAAUGAAUCCUUUCCUGUCUACACAGGACAAGGGAAAUAUUAAAAGCAGGAAGACAGACUGAUUGGAUGACAGCACUGCCUACCCAAACAUAAGGGAAGAAACUAAACUUUGCGUAGAAGCAAAUGUACAGCUUGGAUUGUUUUUAAUCUUAGACAAGAAAGAAUUAAAAUAUAUGAACUAAACAUUCUGGGUAAGCUAAUAUUGAAAAGCAAAAUAUAACCAGAAAAUAAAAGAGAGAAAUCUCUAGAGAUUACAUUAAUGUACUGGAAAAGAGAUUAAAAUGACUAAUAAAUUCAGGACUUGGAUUCUUUGAAAAAAACUAAUAAAAUAUACAGGCUUUCAGAAAGUCUGAGUGACGACAAAAAGAAAGAAGAAAGAUAGCAAAGAAAUAAAAAGUUACAGAAUUUCAUGUAGAAGUCUAUGCUAAAAACUUGAACCUCAAUGAGAAGGCAAAUGGAAAAUACGAAAAUAAAGAUUAUCAAAUCUGACGAUCAGAACAGACCACUAUCCAUGGAAGAAAUAGAAACCAGUCUCAAAGAAUUGCAUCCAUAAAAGGAGCUGGGCCCGAAUGUUUUAUAGGCAAGUUUUUCAAACCUUCAAGGAACACAUAAUUCUUACGGUAUUUAAGCUGUUACAGUUUAUAGAAAAAAAAUGAAAAGUGUCACAAUUCGCUUUAUGAAAUUAACAUAAACGUGCUACCAAAAUGUAACAAAGACAGUGCAUUAACGUAAAACAAUAGACUCAUUUCACACAGAAACACAGAUGCAAAUGAGAAGUGAAAUAUUUCCUGUGAUACAGCAACAUGAAUAAGGGUGAUGUCACCUGAUUGGGUAGAAUUUAAUCCAAGAAAACAUGGAAAGGUUAAUAAUAUGAAAUAAAAUUUUAUCAAAUCAAUGUCAAUGAAAAAAGAUUAUAUUGAUGGAUAUCAAUAAAGCAAAUGUUUAAUUUAACAAAAUUAAAAAUUCAUUUUUAUUGAACAAUACUAAAAAUGCAAACAAAUUAAAAUACAUUUUAAAUCUAGAUCUGUAUAGUUUUGUAAACUCUAGAAAGAUAUUUCUUGAUAUGAUGGAGUAUAUCAAUCUAAAACCAAUGGACAGUGUCGUAUCUGUCAAAAUAUCAAAGCAGCAUUUCUCAACUUCAUUGUUUAAUCAAUUUUCCAGGAGAUGUUAGCAGAUGUGCUUGAAAGUAAAGUCUAAACAACAGUUCAAAAGUAGUUUGGGAAGUAAAUGGAGUGACAAAAUGAAUCCAGAGUUUUCUUGGCAGAAUGAAUGUACAAGAAUAGACAAAAUAAUUUUGAAAAAGAAUAUUCAUCCAGGCCUUAAACUAGAGAAUAUUAAAAUGUAUUAUGCAACCACAGCCAUUAAAGUAAUGUGACAGCAAUACUAGAGCAGAGAGACAGAUAAAUGGAAAAGAAGCGAGUGUAUUCCAAAAUAGAUCCAAAAUUCUUUUUAAUAUAACAAAUGUGGUUUUCCAAAUAAGAAAGGAAAUGAUGGAUUAUUUGAUAAGUCUUUUGAGACUAUCUGGCUAACCAUUUCAAAAUAAAUACUGUGAGGCAUAAUCUACCAAAAUACAAACACGAAUUCCAGGUAGAUUACAAAUGAUGCUCUAAAAGAAUGAGGAGGAAACAGACUUACAUUGUGGAAGGUCUCUCUGAGCAUCCCUGAGAAGGCACAUUCCAUGAAAAAACAUGAAAAUAUUUGACUAUAUAAAUAUUUUAAAUGUCUAAACAUUUGCAAAAACCAUAAAACAACAAAAUGCAAAUAACCAAGUGGAAAAGAUAGUUUUAAAUAUGUAUAAGGAUUAUAAUAUUUUAAAAUAUUCCUCAUCUUUAUUCUUUUCUUAGUAAAUCUCUCUCUCUCUCUGUCUCUCUCUUUCUCUCUGCUGUCCACUUGGCUUUGCUAUUCCAUAGAAGGUGGAUGCCACUCUGGAAAGGAGGAGGAGUGUCCCUUUUAGCCAGAACAAGGAAGAGGAAAGACUUCCCUGUCUUCCGUGAGGGACUGUGAGAAAGGUGGGGAAGAAGGUAGUGGAAAGAGGCAGUUGGCAUUUGUUCUGAGCCCUCUCUCUCAACAAGAGUGGUAGGAAUGCCUGAAGAUUGGCUGGGCACGGUGGUGCAUGUCUGUAGUUCCAACUACUCAGGAGGCUGAGAAGAGAGGAUCACUUGAACCCAGGGUUCUAGGCUGCAGUGAGCCAUGAUUGUGCCACUUCACUCCAGCCUGGGUGACACAGCAAGACCAUGUCUGGAACAAAAAAAUGCCUGAAGUUAAAGUGGGGGGGGGCGGGCAGAGGUGCUUUCUCCCAUUCUCCAUUCUGGGUGUAGUCAGUCCUUUCCAUGAGAGCCACCAUACCUGUUAAUGUGGCAGCCAGUGUGGUGGGGUAGAGAGUGUGGUGUGGAAGGAACCCACUGGGCUCUCUGUGCCCUGAGACUGGGAUGGAAACAUUGUUGAGAAUUAGGUGCAGGAGGUUGUCAAAGCUGUUCACAGGGCUGCAGGGACAAAGUGACUCCCUGGCCAACAGCAACAGAGCCAGUGUCACUGGAGCCAGGAAACAAUGGAGUCAUAGUCAAACCCUCUCUGACUACUAUGACAUUUGUAAGCCCCUAGGCGUGGUCAGUAUCUUAGAGGGCGGAUCUGAAAGGCCCUGUGCUGUGGUCUGAAUGUUUGUGCCCCACCCCCGAAAUUCCUAUGUUGGAAUCCUGGCCCCCAGUGUGUUGAUAUUAGGAGAUGGGGCCUUUGGGAGGUGAUGCAGAAAGAGGCCCCAGGGAGCUGCCUCACUCCUUCCACCAAGUGAGCACACAGCCAGAAGGUACCAUCCAUAAAGAUGAAGAAUGCCAAGGACAUCCACCCCUCAUGGCAACAUCUGCAUGUUGACAUACAUCAGUAAUGGUCUGUGAAUCAUUUGAAUUCUGGAUGAUUUUUAAAUUGCAUCGCACCUGUUCAAAAGCUGAGAGGAGGCACGGAGACCACAUACUGGAGAUGGUGCCUGGUGCUGGGCUGGCUGAAUACACAACCAGGGAAAAAGAUGCGGUCACUGUCCUCACAGAACUGAAGGUCUAGCCAAGGAGACAAACAACUGAACAAGCAAACUAAGUGUCCAGGCAAAGUAUACAGGGGUGCUUUGCUAGUGAGCACAUUGCAGCAAUAAUUAAUCUAGCAUAAGAAGGCUCAGAAAGAAAAUGACUUUAAAGCCAAGUUCAAAAAGAUGUGUAGGACUUUCCCAGAGAUAGAGCUGCUGGGAGUGGAGAGUAUGAGGUGUUCUAAGUACAGUUAAAGCAAAGGCCUGGAGGAAGAAAACGUCCCACUGAAUGAAGUUCCUUGUCUUGUGUAGUGAGAGGCAAGGAGGGGUUAAGGAAGGAGGCUGAAGAGGAAGACAGACACAAGUAAAGAAGUGCCUGCUAAAACCUACCAAGAACCCUGAGUUUUAUUCCAACAGUGAUGGGAGAUGAUUGAAAGGCUUUGAGAAGGGGAUUCAGAUUUUCACUUUAGAAGAUCCUUCUGGCUAUAAGUGAACAAUGGACUGAGGAAGGACAAGAUGGGGUGGAUCAACUCAUUCCAGGAAGUUAUUGCACAAAUAUGGACAAAAUGCACAAUUGCAUAGGCUGGCUGCUUUGGCACUGACAAGGGUGAACUCCACUCACUGGGACCUCCUGCACUGGGAUAAGGAGCAUGCAGGAGCUGGAAUGAGUGCUUUUGGGCACCAGCAGGAGUGAACUUUGUACUGGCCCUGUGGCAGCAUCUGGGGCUAGGGGGUGCCUGUGAUCUCCAAAGACCCAGAGGAAGUGUCACAGUACUCUUUCAGCUCUGCCAUUUGCAGGAAUAAAUUGAAGAUGGUAAAUGUGGGGGAUUUUAUUGCCCAUGAAAGUGGCUGUCAGCCGGAAGGGGAACUGAAAAGGGGAUAGAGUAGGAAGGUCAUCUUGUCCAGCCAUCUCUGGCCAGAUUCUUCUCUGAAGUUACACCAUCAAGCUGUCCCUCUGAAUUCAAGCUGCUUCUCUCUGACCAACUGUAGUCUCCAACGUCCAGUUUCUUCUCCCCUUUCUGCCAGCUGAGCCUGAGGUUUUUAUGGACACAGGAUGUGGGGCAGGGUGGGCAUGGGUGGUUUUGGAAAAGGCAAUAUUUAAGCAGGAAAACAGGGAUGUGAGUCCUCACUUUGGGCCACAGUUUCAGGCUUGAGGGUGGGGCCCUUGCCGGGGACCCACCCUCUUCUGCCCAUAAUUUCCCUGCCUCCUGUCCCUGUCACUUGGAGGUAGAAUGAACUACAUUCAGUGGAGUGUGGUGAGGGGAGGGGAGUGAGUGAGAAGCAAGGAUCUAGGAUGACUCUCAGUUUCUGGGUGAACCAUUUUCUGAGAAAAUAUGCUUGAAGAGAAAAACAGAUCUGAAGGGAAGAUGAUGGGUUUUCAGCAGACUAGGCUGUUCAGACAGCAAUAAUACAGGGUGGUCACAGCAGUUUCACAUGACUAGAUGCUACGGGCUGAUAAGACCCUGAAAAACAGGGUGUGGGCCAAGCUGGCUAAGACUGACUGGAGCCAACAUGGGCUGGAUUUGACCUAGGUUUCACCUAGAACCUCAUUAUAUGCUCAUUUACAUAAUUACCCACCCACCAGUGCCAUGACAGUUAUAGGAACACCCACAUUUGGUGUAAAAAUGGGCGACUCCACAAUUCCAAGAAAUCUCCACUUUUUCCAGGAAUUUUCACGAAUAUCCCAUCCCUUGGUUAAAGAAAUUCAUAAAGAAAGAUACCCUAAACCCCACUGGGUGACUCUGUCUUGAGUACAUCUACACUCUCCUUGCUUGAGUGUGUACUUUUCCCAUUACAAUAAAUCUCUGUACUUUCACUAUUUUCAGAUUCAUCCUUGAAUUCUUUCUUACAAUGGUGUUAAGAGCCUGGAAACUGGUUGGAGUCAAGGUCUCACCGGCAUUUGGACCUCUCCCAGCCCACCAGUAUCACUUUCACCAUAGAAUUAUCAUGGGAUGAAAAACCAUGCAGGAUGGAAGGGUUUAGUCCCAGUAGAUACCCAGGACUUGAAUGGCCCAAUGAAUUUCAGAUGGAAUGAAAACCCAGUGGAUUUUUAAACUCAAUUAUAUUUGGUAAAACAUGACUGUAUAGGUUCUAAGAGAAAAGUGUUUGGUAGACUCUAUAAUGAGAUUCUAGAAUUCAGGUCUCAUAUAAGUAAGAGAGCUUGGUUUUAUUUUAGCCUAUCCAAAAUCAUGCUGUGAAAAGUUUUGAUGAGGUAAGUGUAAAUAAAUCAGAAAACAUUGUAAAUGUUUACAUGAUCACUUGAAAAUGAAAAGAAAGAAUGGUUAGGACAAAGUACAUUCUUAGUUCUUUUGAACCAAAAAUAUUUCCACAAAGUAUAUAAAAUGUACAAAAACAGCCAAACUGAGGCCCAUCUGUCCUUAAUUAUAACAGAAUAACAUGAAAAGAAACCAAAAGACAUGACCCAACCUGCUUCCUUGAAUGGUAAUGAAAACCCAGUGAAACAUGCUUAUUUUCUGCUUUCUACCGCAGUGGGCAUCACAUUCUAAAGGGAUGAGAAAUACAGCAAUGUCGUUUAUUUCUUAAAGCGUGAUUGUUUUUGUAACGUGAUUUGUAACUGGGCUAAACUUGUAGAAUAAACUGGUACACUCUGACUCCACUUAGCUUCAGUUUUUAACUAAGCCUAGAAAAUAAGAGAGUGAAGCUUCGCAUUGCUAUAAUUAGGGUCUCUAAAUAUGUAUGGUUUCAGAGAUACUAUAUCAUUAUACAGUAUGUACAAAGCUGGAAUAAAUACUAGGCUUUCUGAGCACAAUGCUUAUAAAACAACUAAUUGCAAUUUACCUUUGUUCUACUUGUGGGGUUUGUCUUAGUAUCUGCCAACUGAUUUCUUAUUUAUAUAAAUAUCCUUUAAAAGUAAGAUUUACUUUUGUCACAUCUGAAAAAAUUGCAGUGGCCAAAUAAAGGUAUAUUUUAGCUAACUGCAUUUAAUUUGUUACUGCGAGAACAUGAUCUGAAAGUGGAGAUUUAAUGUUUUAAAAAUUUUUGUAGGUACAUAGUAGGUAUAUAUAUUUAUGGGUUGCAUGAGAUGUUUUGAUACAGGCAUGCAACACAUAAUAAUCACAUCAUGGAAAAUGGGAUAACUAUCCCCUCAAGCAUUUAUCCAUGAUGUUACACACAAUCCAGUUAUACUAUUUUACUUAUUUAAAAUGUACAAUUAAAUUACUAUUGAAUAGUCACCCUGUUGCACUAUCAAAUACUAGGCCUUAUUCAUUCUUUCUAACUAUAUUUUUGUGACACUGUGCGACGUUUGUCUUUCUGUGCCUGGCUUAUUUCACUUAACAAAAUGAUCUCCAGUUCCAUACAUGUUGCUGCAAAUAACUGAAUUUCAUUCUUUUUUAAUGGCUAACUAGUACUCCAUUGUGUAUAAGUACCAUAUUUUUCUUAACCAUUCAUCUGCUGAUGAACACUUGGGUUGGAUAUUUAAUUUUUUUCCAACUAUUGCUGCCUGGUGAACUGAUAGGGACAAGAAAUUUACAAAUAUGCAGAAUUUUUUUUUUUCUGUCCUUGGAACUUGUUCUUAUUUGUGGAUGUUAAGUGAAGGAAAAACAAACUAUUGUUGAUUUGGUUUUAAAUAAUUCAUGGGUAAAUGAAGCCACAAACUAUAAAUUACAAAGGCUUUCAGAAGGGCAGAGUGAGACACACAGGGACAUUGGUGGCAGAGAGUGCAGAGGUGAGCUUCAUGAGAUCACACAUGGCCGUAGGCAAGGUGGGCAUGGGGAGGACUUGAGAUGGCACAAGGAUCCAUCUUAGGGAUGUGUGUGCCCAUGAAGCAUGGAAAUAAAGGAAAAUCUUGAGUUCCUUCAAGGUAAAUUCCAGGCAUCUAGCUAGCCAUGAAAAGUAAAUGACUACCUUAAUAAGUAAGAAGAUAAUAGUAACUUAAAAAUAAUGGCAGAGGAAGUUAGAGUCAGGAGAUGUUUUGUUUCCCAUGGAAACUAAAGUAACGUCUUAACAUACUCUGAGUUGUUUUUCAGGAACCUGGACCCCUACCACAUGAAUCCACUGGCUGGCACAUAGACCUCAGAUAAGGAGGUACUAAGGACUGAACGCUGAUGGCUGUUUUCGUUCUAAACUUCUUCCCAAAGGGCCUCAAGGAGGUCAUGCCCACGAGCCAGAACUAACAUUCUUUUCUGCUGACCCCAAAAUUUUAAACAAAGCUUCUCUUCCUUGAUCAAUUGCAAAUGAGAAAAUCUUUGAAUUUACCUAUGACCUGUAAGCCACCCCUGCACCCCCCUACCCACGACCCCCACUUUAAGAUAUCCCACCCUUUUAGGACAAAACUAAUCUGUAACCUCCAGGUAUUGGUUUGCAAUUUUGCCUGCAGUUUCUGCUUUCCUGAAAUUAAACCCUGCCUUUAAAAAUCCUUACCUGCAAACCACUAGGGAGGUCAGAGUUUGAGCAUUAGCUACCUGUUGCUCCUUGCUCGGCACCCGGCAAAUAAAUGCCUUCCUUUUCCCCACUGCAAACUCGGUGUGGUUAUCUGGUCUUACUGUGCUGGGUGAGUGGACCCCAGUUCAGUUCUAUAACAGGCUGGGCUGGGUAAACCUUCCCAUAUUUGAAUGGUAGGAGAAUACUUAUUCAUCAACUGUUAAAGAUCCAACAUAGGAAGAAAAAAUUAGUUCUUAUUUUGUCUGUCUUGUCAGAUUGUGGAGAGGGUCAAGCAAUUGUCAGGUGAGUUGUAUGUGUGUAUGUGUGUGUGUGUGCACACGUGUGCACGCUCUCUAGGGUUGAGGGUGUGGUGAGGGUAGGUUAGAAGAAAUGACUUAAUUCAAAUACCACAGGAUAUGCAGGUAGAAACAGUAUGUGAGAAUCAGUAAGGUGUUCUCUGAAAUUUGACCAGUGGUAUCCUGGAUGAUGUAGACCGUAGACUGUGCAAUGUCCCGUUCUUUUAUUAAGUACAUGGGGUCUGUAGUCACACUUCCUGGGGCAAAAUCCUGCCUCUUAUGUUUUGACCUUCGGCAAGUUACCUCACCUCGCAAAACCUGUUUCCUCACCUGUAAAAUGGGAAUAAUCACAGUACCUAUGUCAUAAGAUUGAAAUGAGAAUUCAAUGACAGUCUGGAUUAAACACUUAGUACAUGGCUUGGCAUGGAGAAAAUGCUUCAUAAAUGGUAGUUCCUAUAAUGACAUUUUUAUUAGUGUUAUUUAUAUUCUGCAUUUGUCAGAAAAAGUAUUCUGCUUUUGUAUUAGUCUGAGUUCUCUACAGAAACUAUAUAUAUACACACACAUAUAACUAUAUAUACACGUAUAUAUACACAUAUAUAUAUACAUAACUAAAUUGCAUUGGUCAUGCAGUUCCUUGGAGGCUAAGAACUCCAAGAUCUGCAGUUCAUGCUGGAGAGUCAGGAGAGCUGGUGAUAUAGUUCAGCCCCAGGUUCAACGACCUGAGAACUAAGACAGUCAAUAGUAUAAGCUCUAGAUCUAGCCCAAGUCCAAGUCUGAAGGCAAAGACCGGUGUUCCAGCUCCAAGACAGUCAGGCAGGGAAAAAGAAUUCUUUCUUACUCAGAUUUUUAUUUUAUUCAGGCAUUCAACAGAUUAGAUGAAUGUUUUACUGCUUUACUCAAUGUAAUGUUUCCAAUGUCAAUCUCAUCCAGAAAUACCCCCAGAGACACACUCAGAGAUAAUAUCUAACCAAAUAUCUGGGCACUCUGUGGUCCAGUCAAGUCAAUCCAUAAAAUUGACCACCACAAUCAUUAUCACUUUCUUCAUCCUGCCUUCUUAGUGUUACUUUGUUGCUUUUUCUAGCUUCUUGUACUACUUUAUUUGCUUACUUAUUUUAAUAUUCUUUGGUUAAAAUAGCACUUAAAAGCCAUACUUGGGAGGCUGAGGCAGGAGAAUCACUUGAAGCUGGGACGUGGAGGUUGCAGUGAGCUGAGGUCAUAUCAUUGCACUCCAACCUGGGCAACAAGAGCAAAACUCCAUCUAAAAAAAAAAAAAGCUAUACAUUUUAUCUAAUAACUAUUUUGUGACUACACCCAUAAGAUUUAAUGUCAUGAUUUUUCUUUUAU